UAGAGUUUGAUCAUGGCUCAGGACGAACGCUGGCGGCGUGCCUAAUGCAUGCAAGUCGAGCGGGCUACAGUCUUCGGACUGUAGCUUAGCGGCGAACGGGUGAGUAACACGUAGGUAAUCUACCCUUCAGAGGAGGACAACCUCAGGAAACUGAGGCUAAACCUUCAUACGUUCACUGGUAGGGAUACUGGUGAAGAAAGAGUUACCUUAAAGGUAGCUGCUGAAGGAUGAGCCUGCGGCCCAUCAGGUAGUUGGUGAGGUAACGGCUCACCAAGCCGAAGACGGGUAACCGGUCUGAGAGGAUGUCCGGUCACACUGGGACUGAGACACGGCCCAGACUCCUACGGGAGGCAGCAGCAGGGAAUCUUGGGCAAUGGGCGAAAGCCUGACCCAGCGACGCCGCGUGGAGGAAGAAGUCCUUCGGGGCGUAAACUCCUGGACUGGGGGACGAGUAAGGACGGUACCCCAGUAGAAAGGGACGGCUAACUACGUGCCAGCCGCCGCGGUAAUACA
rnacentral:rRNA from 1 species